CUACACCACAGCUCACGGCAACGCCGGAUCGUUAACCCACUGAGCAAGGCCAGGGAUGGAACCGCAACCUCACAGUUUCCAGUCAGAUUCGCUAACCACUGAGCCACGACGGGAACUCAAGGGAAUGCUUUCUUAAAAUGAAAGGCCCAUUUAGCUGACCUUGCCUUCUGCUUUUCUUUACAUCUGGAACUCAACUGCUGUACUGGAGCUUGAGCAGCCAUCCCGUGACUGCAAAGGAACACGCACAUGUUAAGGAUGCUGGGUGAAGGGAAGAGAGAAGGUCCUGGCUCUCCGAGGACGUUGUGGAUAUUCCAGAUCAGCCCUGGACUAAAAAAGACGUAUAUGAUAGUACUCCAUUGCAUGGCUAUACCCACGGUUUGUGCACUCUCCUGCGGUUGGACUUCCAGGUUGCUUCCAGUUCAGGACUGCGAUGAAUAAGACUGCUGUGACAUUCACGUAUCCACCUUGGGGUAUCAUGGCAAAGAGUUUCACUCCCCUGAAAAAAAAGUCCCCUGUAUUUCAUCUAUUCCACCCUUCCUCACUCCCCUCAAAUGUCUGGCAAUUGCUGAUCUUUUGAACACCGUCAUAGGUUUACUUUCCUAGAAUAUAAUUAUAAUUGUCAUGAUACAGUUUAGUCUUUUCAGGCAGGCUUCUUUUCCUUAACAAUGUGUAUUUAAGAUUCAUCCACGUCUUUUCACGGCCUGAUGGCUCUUUUCUUUUCAUCACUGAAGAAUAUUCCCUUAUACUGAUGUACUGCAGUUUGCGUAUCCAUUCACCUACUGAAAGAUACCUUGGUUGUUUCCACUUUGGGGAGAUUAUGAAUAAAGCUGAUGACGUUGUUAUUUGUUUGUAGGUUUCUGUGUAGACAUAAAAUCUCACAUCAGUUGGGGAAAUACUUGGGAGUACAACUGCUGAAUCAUAUGCCCCUCCGCCUCUCCAAGGCCUUAUUUCUGGAUUUCUGGCUCAUCAGCGCAGGGAGAGCUCCCUCCUGUGAUAUCUGGAUUUCUCCUCCUGGAACUAUGAUCCAAAAGUCACCCCCAGGAAGAAAGCUGUAACAAACAAAAGGGUUUCGAGAUUCAGUCCUCAGAGGAAAGCUCAAGGGGAAAUGGAGAGGGUGGGAAGAGUGAGACUGAGUUGGCGGUACUCUGCUCUGCCGUUUAACGCUGCGGAGGGCGCCGUGCUGAUCUCCGGCCCACAGUGGUGCCAACCCCCGCGUCCUGGCUUCCUGCCCCCCGAACCGAUGAACCCACUCACUCGCUGAGGAGGCCUCCUACAAGCCGUGAUUCUGCACUUGGAACCCUGGGCUGGCGCCGCGGAUGCCCUCGGGCAGCCCAUCUUCCACGGUCUGCGUUUCACGCAGGGGAAGCCGAGGCUCGGAGGCGCCCAGGGCCUGCUUAGAGUUACAGUCGGAUGCGUUUGCGGCAGAGGCGAAGCUGAUUUUCUAACCUGUGAACUGACACUGGAGUCCCCGACAGAACUGGGCUGGGGCCGCUGACCGUCUAAAGCAUAAACAAGGAGAAGGGACUGAUUCCCAGGCAAUGGAGCUCAAACUCCAAGAAGGCAUCCUUGCGCCUGGGUGGGGGGAAGGCGGCUCCCAGCUACGUGCUUCUGCAAGAUCCCCCAAAGGGCUGCCACCCUCUGUUCCACUGAGAAAUUAAACUCCGGCUUCGCCACCACGCUGGCUUUUCCACUAGAACGCUGUUUUGCGAAAGAGCUGGCGCUUUGCUAGAUUUCUUUUUCCUUAAGGCAUUUGCUUGGCAUUUCCGGGUCCUUGAUCAACAGAGGAACAUGAAGGGACAAAUGAGAAGAGACGGGGAAAUUCCACAACCAACCACUUAGAAAUUCAAUCCAAAACUUCCAUUAUAGUCUAGACCCAGCCUUUGUUCCUGUGAAAAAACUGUGGAUGUGGAAUAUUUUGUAAUAUGCGUUUUCUAUGUAAUCACCCACAAAACAUUCUGAAUUAACGUAAUAGCAAAUAUCUGAGUAUUUACGCUGUGCUGUGUCCAUGUUUUAUGCGGAUAAAAUACUUUAUGGU